rnacentral:rRNA from 1 species
GUCGCGUGAAGGAAGACNGCCCUACGGGUUGUAAACUUNUUUUGUAAGGGAAUAAAGUGAGUCACGUGUGACUUUUUGCAUGUACCUUACGAAUAAGGAUCGGCUAACUCCGUGCCAGCAGCCGCGGUAAUACGGAGGAUCCGAGCGUUAUCCGGAUUUAUUGGGUUUAAAGGGUGCGCAGGCGGGAGAUUAAGUCGGCGGUGAAAUUUUGCAGCUCAACUGUAAAAGUGCCAUCGAUACUGGUUUUCUUGAGUGUGGAUGAAGUAGGCGGAAUUUGUGGUGUAGCGGUGAAAUGCAUAGAUAUCACAAGGAACACCGAUUGCGCAGGCAGCUUACUAAACCAUAACUGACGCUCAGGCACGAAGGCGUGGGGAGCAAACAGGAUUAGAUACCCUGGUAGUCCACGCAGUAAACGAUGAUUACUAGCUGUUUGCGAUACAAUGUAAGCGGCUGAGCGAAAGCGUUAAGUAAUCCACCUGGGGAGUACGUUCGCAAGAAUGAAACUCAAAGGAAUUGACGGGGGCCCGCACAAGCGGAGGAACAUGUGGUUUAAUUCGAUGAUACGCGAGGAACCUUACCCGGGCUUGAAAUGCAUCUGACCGGCCUUGAAAGAGGUUUUCCCUUCGGGGCAGAUGUGUAGGUGCUGCAUGGUUGUCGUCAGCUCGUGCCGUGAGGUGUCGGCUUAAGUGCCAUAACGAGCGCAACCCUCAUCAUUAGUUACCAUCAGGUAAGGCUGGGGACUCUAAUGAGACUGCCAUCGUAAGAUGUGAGGAAGGUGGGGAUGACGUCAAAUCAGCACGGCCCUUACGUCCGGGGCGACACACGUGUUACAAUGGGUGGUACAAAGGGCAGCUACCUGGCGACAGGAUGCUAAUCUCCAAAACCACUCUCAGUUA